AGGAAAUAGUUCCGAACAGGUCACUUGUUUUGCCAAGUGUGAAAAGGGAAGCCGGUGAAAAUCCGUCACGGUCCCGCCACUGUGAGCAGCUAGCCCAUUCUCGUUUUUUUACCCACUGUGUCUACGGCAUGGGAAGGGAGAGAAGAGGGUGAUGAUCUGCAAGUCAGGAGACCUGCCUGUUUGGUAUGAUGCAC
rnacentral:ncRNA from 2 species